UUGUUCGGGUGAUGGGCGA
rnacentral:siRNA from 1 species